GACGAACGCUGGCGGCGUGCUUAACACAUGCAAGUCGAACGGACAGGCCAUGCUUUUGUUGGGUGCUCGAGUGGCGAACGCGUGAGUAAAACGUGAGUAUCAUGCCCUUGACUUUGGGAUAAAUUCAGGAAACAGCGGCUCAUACCGGAUAGGAGCUCCUGCUGCAUGGUGGUGGUUGGAGAGAUUCGGCGGUUCGGGAUGGAAUCGAGGCUUAUCCGCUUGUUGGUGGGGUAGUGGCUGACCAAGGCUUAGACGGGUAGCCGGCCUGAGAGGGUGACCGGCCACAAUGGUACUGAGAGACGCCGCAGUCGCCUACGGGCGGCAGCAGUGGAGAGCAUGACACAAUGGGCGGAAGCCUGAUGCAGAAGCGCCGCGUGCGGAAAGACGGCUUUCGGGUUGAGAACAGCUGUCGCAGGAGACGAAGCCGUAGUGACGGUAAUGGGUAAAGAAGCACCGGCUAACUACGUG
rnacentral:rRNA from 1 species